GGGAGUUGGUAGAUGCAGACUCUUGCAUUUAGAAUGGAUGGGCAAUGGGGUCCUGCUGUACAGCACAGGGAACUGUGUGCAGUCUCUUGGUUAGAACAUGAUGGAAAAUGAAAAAAAAAAAAAAAAGAAUGCGUGUGUACGGGUGGCUGAGAAAUUGUAAGGACUUGGUGUACAUCCUCCUGGGGGCAGGCAAGUUCGAAAUACGUAGGGCAAGCCAGCGGGCUGGAAACUCAAGCAGGUUUUCUGAGUUACAGACUUGAGACCAAUUUCCUCCUCCUUCUCCGGUACACUAAGGCAGUCCUGGCAUUUCACCUUCAUCUCGGAUAGGCCAUCUUUUGGUCCAUGUUCUAUCUAAACAAAUUGCUAGCCUGGGCUAGCGCCAGCUGUCCUUUCUGGAUUUUCAAGCUUGUUGGUCUGGUGCGCAAGGAAAUAUGGUGAGGUUCCCUGUAGAGUGGAGAAGCCAGGAAGGGUAGACAGGGACAUUGGUCUGCUUCCCCCCACCCUGCCUCCAGCCGGCAUAGCACAUCUCUGGGGCAGUGUCAGAAGAGUCAAGGUCAUGGGUUGUCAUGUCUCUCCGGAGAGGUGCAGGGUAGGCAGUAACUCAAGAGCUAUUCUGAGGUCAUCUUUUGCCUUUUAAGCUGCAAUAGUUUGGCCCUCCCUGUUCUUCCCUGCCCUGCCCUGCCCUGCUAUGCUGGCCAGCUCUUCUGAACUGAAAGAGUACUCCCAAGUCUCUUCCGGCCCUCACUGCUCUAGGGAGCCCGAGAGAAGAUCUGAUUGUGCCUGACUGUUCCCACGAGAAAAUCUUUGUGACCUCGGGUUGGGUAGCAUUCUUAGAUAUAAUUCCCAAAGCACCAUCUAUAACAUUAAAAAGUGUUCAAUAAAAGUGGGGGUUCCCACUGUGGCUCAGUGGGUUAAGGAUCUGGUGUUGUCACUGCAGCAGCUUGGGUCGCUGCCCUGGCACGGGUUCCAUCCCUGGUCUAGGAACUUUUAUAUGCUGUGGAUGCAGCCAAAAAAAGAAGUGAUAACUCGGUCUGCAUCCGAAUAAAAAUGUUUAUACUUCAAGAAAGGAUGCCAUCAAGACUGUGAAAAGACAACCCACAGAGUGGGAGGUAAUUUUUGAAAAUUGCAUAUCUGAUAAGGGUGUGUAUCCACAAUAAAGAACUCUUACACAAUUCAAUAAGAAAAAGAAAACCCAGUGAAAAUUUGGGUGAGGAUCGGAAUCCAGUAUUCUCAGAAAAAGAUAGGAAAUGGCUAAUAAGUACAUGAGAAGAUGCUCAACAUCAUUAGCCAUCAGAGAAAUGCAAGUCAAAAUGACAAGAUACCAUGUCACACUCACUAGGUUGGCUAUAAGCAAAAAGAGAUGAUAAGUGUUGGCAAGGAUGUGGAAAAAUUGGAACCCUCCUACAUUGCUGGUAAGAAUGUAAAAUAGUGUAGUCACUUUGGAACACAAGUCUGGCAGUUCCUUAAAGGUUAAACAUAGAGUUACCACAUCACCACUUGGAGAUCCCACCUGUAGGUAUGUACCCAAAAGAAAUGAAAGAAUAUAUAUCCAUACAAAAACUUACACAUAAAAAUUUACAGCAGCAGUAUUCGUAAGGGCUCAAAACUGUAACCAACUCAAAUAUCCAUCAAUUGAAGAAUGGUUCAGUAAAAUGUGGUACAUUUGUACAAUGGAAUGUUAUUUGGCCAUGAAAAGGAAUGAANAUGUCCAUGCUACACCAUGAAAACAUGAUGAACUUGGAAAACAUGAUGCUGGGUGAAAGAAGCCAGUCACAAAAGACCACACAUUGUAUGAUUCCAUUCAUAUGAAAUAUCCAGAAUAGGCACAUUGGUGCAAAAAUAGAUUAGUGGUUGCCACUGGCUGGAGAGUUGGGGGUGGGGGGUGGAGUGACUCCUAAUAGGUAUGAGGUUUCUUUGGGAGUGAUGAAAAUAUUCUGGAAUUAGAUAGUGGAGAUAGUUGCACAACUUUGUGAAUAUACUAAAAACCAUGAAUUUUAUACUUAAAGGAUGUGAAUGUAUGGUAUGUGAUUUAUAUUUCAAUAAAGUUAUUGAGAGAGGACAAAAAGGUCCAGAGCUCUCUAUUGCUCUUAGCAUUAAGUCCAAGGUUCAUCACCUGGGACAUUAGAGCCUUCACUCCUACAUACCUGUCCAACCCCUGGCAUGCACUGUGCUGCAUCUUGCCACACUAGGUCACUUUAUCUCCAUUCUCCCAACAGACUGUAUGACUCCACGACUGUUCCUUUCCUCCUAUUGUUCCCUCCUUCUAAUGUCUCCUUUGCCUUGUGAAUUUGGUGAAUGGCGACUUAUUUUUCAGAAAGCAGCUCAAUCCUUUUGUCUCUCCCUGAUUUCCACUCUUCCAGGCCUAGAAAGGUCACUCUCCCCUUGUCUCUGCGACAACAGGUCACAGCACACAUUUCUAUCAUCAUGCUUCUUACACUGUGUGGCAACUGCCUGUGUUUAGCUGUCCAUCUGUCUCCUUAACUAGGUGAUGAGUUCAUUGUGGGCAGGAACCAUGUCAGAUUUACCUCUCUAUACCCAGCAUCUAGCAGAGGACCUGAAGCACAGUAGGCUCUAGGUACAUAUUUGUUGGUUGAAUGAAUGAACUCAAGUAGACUGUUAGUUUCUCAUUCCCUGUAGUCACUCCAAUUUAUCAGGGUGAAAUCCAAUGACCCAAGAGCUGGCAACAAGAUCUGAACACACAGAGGAGUAGGGCAGUCAUGUUGGGGGAGCAUGGAGAAGGCAAGCCUGGCCAGAACACUGUAGCACAGAACCCCAACAACCAGAAGACCAACAAAGACAUGUGCCUGGGAGAGAGGAUGUGAGGGGAGGGUCACUGGAGUUGGAAAAAGUAGAUAGAAAGGGGAGGGAACAUCAUCAUCAGGCCUCCUCUUAAUCCCACUUGCCUGAAGUCAUUGACUCGAUAGGCAGGGAACCCCUCAAGGGCACAGACUGGGUCUAAUUAUUUUCUGAAGCACUGUGCCUAGCAUAGAGUGGCAUCAAAUAGCUGUUUGAUAAAUGGGGGAUCUUCGGUUGCCUCUCAGGGUCCUAGCAAGUUUUCUUCUAGAAGUUUUAGAGUUUUAGCUCUAAAGUCUGUAGUCCAUUUUUAGUUAAUUGUAUAUGACUUACACUAAGAAUCUGAAUUCCUCUUUUUGCAUGUGGAUAUCCAAUUGUCCCAGGCCAUUUGUUGAAAAGAUUAUCCUUUUCCAAUUGACUUGCCAUGUUUAUCAAAAAUUAAUCAACCAAAAAGACAAAAAAAAA
ensembl:lncRNA